rnacentral:lncRNA from 1 species
GAUAGGGUAAGACUGGCUUUCUAGGUUGGCCUUGGGGAAGGAUUGUCAAGAGAUACAGCUGCCCCCUCUCACAGGAUAAUUGGCAGAUUGGACCAAGAACCCUUAAAGAAAUAGAUGCCCUGCACCACACAGUGUAGAAGAGCAUGGAAGUCAACAUGAUCGCUUCCUUUAUGCACCACUGACAGUGAGUCUUGUCUGGCCAGCCUGUAGCCAUCCCCUCCCUCUCUCCGACCACAACAGCAGUCAUACUUUGUAAUUCAAAUAAGCCUUUUUUUAAAAACAAGUGGAACAGCCUUAAAUCUUCUAAGGCAGUUAAGCAAAUUUUGCAUUUUAUGAGCGAGGAUAAUCCUUUCACGUUUUCAGAAAUAAGUUUACAAGCCCACACGCCUGGUGAGCAAUGGGAGCCGUGUGACAAAUGGGGACACAGAGCAUCCUCCAGGCAAUCUGCGUGAUACGCAGUAAAUCCUCCUGCUCUGGCAGCUCCACUAGUGUGGUGGGAGAACAAGAUCAAUUCUCCCCCGGCCUCACAAAAGAUCCUUCAUUGCUGAUUGCUACGAAACCAGAGGAGAAGCUUAAUGAAGGAGACGCUGGAACCUGACAGCAGUAUUGGAAAUGAAUAUGGAGAAAAUGAAAAUAUUAUGCACCAAAUUGGCAGAACCGAAGACGGAGUGACUAUUAGUGGACACAAACAUAGAGUGUGCCUGAGUGUUUUCUCAGGCCAGCUGGUGACUGCAGAAUAUCCGCGUGAGGAAGUAGUAAAAUGAAACCCACAUGGGAUGGGGUGUACUUGGAAAUCCAAGUUAUACCACAGAAAGCAGCGCAUCAGUUGGAAAUUUCGGCCUGCCAGUAUUUUGAAAAAUAAAUACGGCUACGGUGAAAGGGAAUUUGAGUAUCUGAGUUGGGGAGUAACAUGAAAUACACAGUCAUGAAAGAUAAAAACAGAACAUAAAAUAGGAUCUGCAGGUGGAAACCCUUCUAUCCCCUCUCUGCUCGUUUUUCUCCUCUGUCUGCUAAUUUGUUGCUUGUUUUGCCUAC